UUUCUAGGGUUCGUGUUGUUCUUCAGUAGCUGCUUUGAUAAACUGACCAUGGAGGUUUGGGGAGGUGAUGGGAGAUGAAUAUUCAUCGCCAAUCUCAGGUGCGAGCUGCUGUUCGUUGUCGAAUCUUCUAAAUUUCAUCUUGCCAGAAAAGGGAAACAUGAACCGUUAUGGGUUGCAUUCAAUUGUUCUCAUUAACGGCUCUCUUAACUCCUUCUUCCCCACUCUUUCCACAAUUCCUCAUUCAAUGCCAUUACCCCUUUCCUUAAGUCGGUGAAUCUCAACUAUAAAAAGUGAGUCUUGAUACCGUGAAUAUCAUUCUUUCACAUAUCACAACCCAAAAAUCUUUCUUUGAGCACAUUAACACCGGCGGAAUCCACCAGAGAAUUCGACUAGCCAAUUUCCGGCGAAUUCGACCUUCAAAGUCCCAGCGUGGUCGAUAAGGGUUCCAUCUGCGCUUCGAUAAGGGUUUCGAGCACAGAGAGCGCGUGCAUUAGCGUUUCAGGAACAUACUGGCCACCAAACUUCCCGAACCUACCAAACGAAUCGGGUCGUUGCCACAGGGUCGGGUCAGAUCCGGCGGUCAUUAGAACAGGCGGAUCCUUGGCGUUGGUGCAGUAGACUGAGAAUGAUGACCUUGAGCGGGGGACGUAAAGUUGAGAACUUUGGAGGGUGAUGAUCUCAAAUGGGGUCUAUUGGGAAGAGGAAGAUGAUGAUGAAGGAGGAGGAGAAACUGAGGUUUUGAAUCUCUCACAAUCAAUGUCCUUUAAACGAUCAAGUUCAGCAGAGUACAUGCUUCCAACCAGCUCAUGUUUGGUCUAAUGUUGAACCAGACAUCAGCAGCAUAAAUGAUGGUGAGGAGGUACUGAACACAUAGACUGUCAUGGACCAAGUUUAAGCGUUAGUAGGGAUCAAAGCUAAAGAUAGGUUGCUUACCGAUUGAAAUCUACUAAAACGACUUGAUUUUAGUGCAAUUGGAUUGAUACCACCAUGGAUACGCAUCUCUCUGAUCCGAUGGGAAAACAUCUCUGGCAUGCAAUGGAUCCCCAAGAUUUUAGCCCACCUUUUAGUAAGCUCACUUGCCUUAAGAAUUCCCAAGUAUCUCUUAAACUUUUCUUCAGCAUGUGAUGAUAAGAGAACUCUUCUUCCUAAUGUUCUUGGGAAAUAAAACUCCUAGCCCUUCCUGUUCAGAUUACAUCUUCCCUUUGAUGCCUUCCUAGAUGCAGCUUAUGAUUAUCAGAGUGUUUCCAUAGACUUUUAUCUAGAUGAAUCUGAUUUAAGAGUUCUCCUAAUCCCUGGAUACUUCUAUAAUCCCAAUGCUCACUUAGAAGUUUUGGUUUUGUACAGGUAAAAAGAGUUCUUCACAUUGUGGAGUUGGUGGUAAAAGGCAGCAGGGGCAUUAAGUUGGAGGAAGGACCUGAAUGGAGGGAAGGAAAAUCAAAGAUUCUCUUUAAUGGCUGGACCUGUAAUGGAAAGAACAAGUGAGAUGGUGAUUCAGAGCCCUCAUCUGGUCAGCUUCCUGUCAGAAUGUGGGAACGUCGCUAGGCAUAGAUUCACAGAGUUGUCAAGGGUACCUUACAAAAAUGCAAUUAAUUAUGCAGUAUACUUGGAAGGGUACGCGAAAGAUAUCUCUAUAAAUGUUAUUUAGUGAUCCUGAAAGUACCAAAGCAUUAUAGAAAUAAAGCUAUCCAAGAUUCAAUUAAAAUUUUGUUUAAAUUUUUU